AUUGAACGCUGGCGGCAUGCCUUACACAUGCAAGUCGAACGGCAGCACGGGAGCAAUCCUGGUGGCGAGUGGCGAACGGGUGAGUAAAGUAUCGGAACGUGCCCAGUCGUGGGGGAUAACGUAGCGAAAGUUACGCUAAUACCGCAUACGAUCUAUGGAUGAAAGCGGGGGAUCGCAAGACCUCGCGCGAUUGGAGCGGCCGAUGUCAGAUUAGGUAGUUGGUGGGGUAAAGGCUCACCAAGCCGACGAUCUGUAGCUGGUCUGAGAGGACGACCAGCCACACUGGGACUGAGACACGGCCCAGACGCCUACGGGAGGCAGCAGUGGGGAAUUUUGGACAAUGGGCGAAAGCCUGAUCCAGCCAUGCCGCGUGCAGGAUGAAGGCCUUCGGGUUGUAAACUGCUUUUGUACGGAACGAAAAGGUUUGGCCUAAUAAGCUGAGCUCAUGACGGUACCGUAAGAAUAAGCACCGGCUAACUACGUGCCAGCAGCCGCCGUAA
rnacentral:rRNA from 1 species